GAUCUGGCUCGGGAUGAACGCUAGCUACAGGCUUAACACAUGCAAGUCGAGGGGCAGCAUGGUCUUAGCUUGCUAAGGCUGAUGGCGACCGGCGCACGGGUGAGUAACACGUAUCCAACCUGCCGUCUACUCUUGGCCAGCCUUCUGAAAGGAAGAUUAAUCCAGGAUGGGAUCAUGAGUUCACAUGUCCGCAUGAUUAAAGGUAUUUUCCGGUAGACGAUGGGGAUGCG
rnacentral:rRNA from 1 species